rnacentral:rRNA from 1 species
GACGGAGGAUGCAAGCGUUAUCCGGAAUGAUUGGGCGUAAAGCGUCCGCAGGUGGCAGUUCAAGUCUGCUGUCAAAGACCGGGGCUUAACUUCGGAAAGGCAGUGGAAACUGAACAGCUAGAGUAUGGUAGGGGCAGAGGGAAUUCCUGGUGUAGCGGUGAAAUGCGUAGAGAUCAGGAAGGACAUCGGUGGCGAAGGCGGGCUACUGGGCUGAUACUGACGCUGAAUCGCGAAGGCUAGGGGAGCAAACGGG